CCUACGGGUGGCAGCAGUGGGGAAUAUUGCACAAUGGGGGAAACCCUGAUGCAGCGACGCCGCGUGAGUGAAGAAGUAUUUCGGUAUGUAAAGCUCUAUUAGCAGGGAAGAAAAUGACGGUACCUGACUAAGAAGCCCCGGCUAACUACGAGCCAGCAGCCGGGGAAAUACGUAGGGGGCAAGCGUUAUCCGGAUUUACUGGGUGAAAAGGGUACGUAGACGGCCAGACAAGUCAGAAGUGAAAGCCCAGGGAUAAACCGUGGGACUGCUUUUGAAACUGCCGGGCUGGAGUGCAGGGGAGGUAGGCGAAAUUCCUGGUGUAGCGGUGAAAUCCGUAGAUAUUAGGAGGAACACCAGUGGCGAAGGCGACUUACUGAACUGUAACUGACGUUGAGGCUCGAAAGCGUGG
rnacentral:rRNA from 1 species